CUAAUUAGCAGUUAUUGUUAUGUACAUGUAUUGGAGCAUAGUAAACAUGUGAUAGACACCCAAUAUUUUUUAUACUGAUGUGAAUUAAACCAGAAUAUUGAACUUGCAAUUGGGUUGACAUUGGAUGUUUGAUUGAUUGGAUUUGGUAUCAAAUGAGGGAAGAAGGGCUCUUACAGGUACACAUUUGUAAUAAUGAUUAUUAGGCAUAAAUCAAUAAACCAC
rnacentral:lncRNA from 1 species